rnacentral:misc_RNA from 1 species
AACAUCGCGCACCUGCGGGAACCUGCGGAAGGAUCAUUACUGAGAUGGCUGAGCGUCUUCGCUACUGGCAAGAUGCAGAAACCAGUCCUUAUCCCAGUCCCACUGUGAACGGUGGAGGUUGCUGCAUCCGCUCUGUGCCAUUUUGUGUGCUCCAGGGGUAUCCCGGAUGUGGGCGGCCUUCAAUUUUUAUAAUCCUGUUUUUCCCUAUUGCCAGAACAACUCUUCUGUUGACAGUGAGCU